GUAGGGAAUCUUCCGCAAUGGACGAAAGUCUGACGGAGCAACGCCGCGUGAGUGAAGAAGGUUUUCGGAUCGUAAAACUCUGUUGUUGGAGAAGAACAAGUAGGAGAGUAACUGCUCUUACCUUGACGGUACCCAACCAGAAAGCCACGGCUAACUACGUGCCAGCAGCCGCGGUAAUACGUAGGUGGCAAGCGUUGUCCGGAUUUAUUGGGCGUAAAGCGAGCGCAGGCGGUUCCUUAAGUCUGAUGUGAAAGCCCACGGCUCAACCGUGGAAGGUCAUUGGAAACUGGGGAACUUGAAUGCAGAAGAGGAGAGUGGAAUUCCAUGUGUAGCGGUGAAAUGCGUAGAUAUAUGGAGGAACACCAGUGGCGAAGGCGACUCUCUGGUCUGUAAUUGACGCUGAGGCUCGAAAGCGUGGGGAGCAAACAGG
rnacentral:rRNA from 1 species